rnacentral:rRNA from 1 species
UACGUAGGGUGCGAGCGUUAAUCGGAAUUACUGGGCGUAAAGCGUGCGCAGGCGGUUUUGUAAGCCAGGUGUGAAAUCCCCGGGCUCAACCUGGGAAUGGCAUUUGGGACUGCAAGGCUGGAGUGCGGCAGAGGAGACUGGAAUCCUGGUGUAGCAGUGAAAUGCGUAGAUAUCAGGAGGAAUACCGAUGGCGAAGGCAGGUCUCUGGGCUGACACU